GACAGUGUAAUUAACCCUUGAUAACGUUACUCGUUUCUAUUAAUAUAUGUCCUCUGGCCUAAAUGGAUAAUUCAUCUUUGCGGACAGGAAAUUCCCAAAUUUAAGCAAAACAGGAAGUUGGAUUACAUGCCAAAAAUUUCUUGAAAAUGCACGAAAAUAGGAUACUCUCACAUUCCCACCAGCCCAUCACUUUCUGGUUUGUUUAUGUCCAAUCUUUCUUGCAUUUCAGUUUUAAGUAUAAAUAAUCAGCCGCGUUCCCGUUGAAGCAUGAAUCAUUACCAGAACAUCUGGGAAUGAAGCAAAAAUUCCACGACAGCCCAAUGAUUGGGAAUUCUAGGUGUAGGUGAGCUGCGAGCCGAGGGAUGGGAUGAACGACAGAUAGUCAGAGGAACAAUGACACGACAGCCAAAACUGACGAGGAGAAGAAGCAUGAAACGGAAGAGAAAGAUGAGUGCAAAGACGAGGAUGAGAAAGGAGAGGAAGAUGAAGAGAAAGCUUCUCACAAGGAAAAGGAAGAUACGGAUCCAGAUGAGAAGACGGCGAAGAAUCCUUAAGAUCAGAAGGAUCCAACCACAGUGAAGGUCCAGUACGACAAGAUCGAAAGCAAGAUGGCAAAAUCUUUAAGCAGAUUAAUAAAGAUGAUAACUUUCUUUUUUUUCAAUGGGUGAAGUAGCUGUAGGGUAUGAAAACUAAUAUGUUCAUGUAUGUGCUCUAUACUUGACAGAGAAACAGAGUAAUUUUAAAAAAUGUAUAUGAAAACGUAACGAUUUUACUGCCCAAACACUUCUCAGAGCACAUGUACAAUUUCAGCAAACAGAAGUUAACUAGACAACUAACGUAUAGGGCAACGGUAUAUCCACAAUGUAAAGAAAGAAAUAUUUAAACACUCGAAAGACAGGAUGCAA